rnacentral:rRNA from 1 species
CAGCCGCCGCGGGAAUACGAAGGGGGCUAGCGUUGCUCGGAAUUACUGGGCGUAAAGGGCGCGUAGGCGGGUCGUUUAGUUAGAGGUGAAAGCCCAGGGCUCAACCCUGGAAUUGCCUUUAAUACUGGCGGCCUUGAGUAUGGCAGAGGUGUGUGGAACUCCGAGUGUAGAGGUGAAAUUCGUAGAUAUUCGGAAGAACACCAGUGGCGAAGGCGACACGCUGGGCCAUUACUGACGCUGAGGCGCGAAAGCGUGGGGAGCAAACAGGAUUAGAUACCCCUGUAGUCCCUGUCUCUUAUAC